AACGUAGGUGGCAAGCGUUAUCCGGAAUUACUGGGCGUAAAGGGUGUGCAGGCGGGGGUGUAAGUGGGGUAUGAAAUAUCCCAGCUUAACUGGGAGGGGUUAUGCCAGACUGCAACUCUAGAGGACGAGAGAGGGGGGUGGAAUUCCGGGUGUAGUGGUGAAAUGCGUAGAGAUCCGGAGGAACCCCAGAGGCGAAGGCGGCCCCCUGGCUCGUACCUGACGCUCAGCCACGAAAGCAUGGGGAGCGAACGGG
rnacentral:rRNA from 1 species